rnacentral:rRNA from 1 species
GACACGGUCCAAACUCCUACGGGAGGCAGCAGUGAGGAAUAUUGGUCAAUGGACGAGAGUCUGAACCAGCCAAGUAGCGUGCAGGAUGACGGCCCUAUGGGUUGUAAACUGCUUUUAUAGGGGGAUAAAGUGUGCCACGUGUGGCAUAUUGCAGGUACCCUAUGAAUAAGGACCGGCUAAUUCCGUGCCAGCAGCCGCGGUAAUACGGAAGGUCCAGGCGUUAUCCGGAUUUAUUGGGUUUAAAGGGAGCGUAGGCCGUUUGGUAAGCGUGUUGUGAAAUGUCGGGGCUCAACCUGGGCAUUGCAGCGCGAACUGCCAGACUUGAGUGCGCAGGAAGUAGGCGGAAUUCGUCGUGUAGCGGUGAAAUGCUUAGAUAUGACGAAGAACUCCGAUUGCGAAGGCAGCCUGCUGUAGCGCAACUGACGCUGAAGCUCGAAAGCGUGGGUAUCGAACAGGAUUAGAUACCCUGGUAGUCCACGCGGUAAACGAUGGAUGCUCGCUGUUUGCGUCUGACGUAAGCGGCCAAGCGAAAGCGUUAAGCAUCCCACCUGGGGAGUACGCCGGCAACGGUGAAACUCAAAGGAAUUGACGGGGGCCCGCACAAGCGGAGGAACAUGUGGUUUAAUUCGAUGAUACGCGAGGAACCUUACCCGGGCUUAAAUUGCAGAUGAAUUACGGUGAAAGCCGUAAGCCGCAAGGCAUCUGUGAAGGUGCUGCAUGGUUGUCGUCAGCUCGUGCCGUGAGGUGUCGGCUUAAGUGCCAUAACGAGCGCAACCCUUGUUGUCAGUUACUAACAGGUUCCGCUGAGGACUCUGACAAGACUGCCAUCGUAAGAUGUGAGGAAGGUGGGGAUGACGUCAAAUCAGCACGGCCCUUACGUCCGGGGCUACACACGUGUUACAAUGGCAUGUACAGAAAGCAGGGUGUAUGCAAAUACGCUCGAAUCCCUAAAACAUGUCUCAGUUCGGACUGGGGUCUGCAACCCGACCCCACGAAGCUGGAUUCGCUAGUAAUCGCGCAUCAGCCAUGGCGCGGUGAAUACGUUCCCGGGCCUUGUACACACCGCCCGUCAAGCCAUGAAAGCCGGGGGUACCUGAAGUACGUAACCGCGAGGAGCGUCCUAGGGUAAAACUGGUGAUUGGGGCUAAGUCGUAACAAGGUAGCCGUACCGGAAGGUGCGGCUG